UGACUGUUCAUUCAAAUGGAUAAAAUGAAGCCAGGCCGCUCAUAACGGUCUGGUUGCAGGUUCGAGUCCUGCCGGGCCCACCA
rnacentral:tRNA from 1 species